rnacentral:rRNA from 1 species
UUCCGGUUGAUCCUGCCGGACCUGACUGCUAUCGGAUUGAUACUAAGCCAUGCGAGUCUUUGCAGUAAUGCAAGGCAUACGGCUCAGUAACACGUAGUCAACUUACCCUAUGGACGAGGAUAAUCUCGGGAAACUGAGCAUAAUACUCGAUAGAUCAUAAUGCCUGGAAUGGUUUAUGGUUAAAAUGAUUCGUCGCCGUAGGAUGGGACUGCGGCCUAUCAGCUUGUUGGUGAGGUAAUGGCCCACCAAGGCGAUUACAGGUACGGGCUCUGAGAGGAGAAGCCCGGAGAUGGGUACUGAGACAAGGACCCAGGCCCUAUGGGGCGCAGCAGGCGAGAAAACUUUGCAAUGUGCGAAAGCACGACAAGGUUAAUCCGAGUGAUUUCUGCUAAAGAAAUCUUUUGCAAGUCAUAAAACCACUAGUGAAUAAGGGGUGGGCAAGUUCUGGUGUCAGCCGCCGCGGUAAAACCAGCACCUCAAGUGGUCAGGAUGAUUAUUGGGCCUAAAGCAUCCGUAGCCGGCUCUGUAAGUUUUCGGUUAAAUCCAUGUGCUCAACGCAUGGGCUGCCGAAAAUACUGCAUAGCUAGGGAGUGGGAGAGGUAGACGGUACUCGGUAGGAAGGGGUAAAAUCCUUUGAUCUAUCGAUGACCACCUGUGGCGAAGGCGGUCUACCAGAACACGUUCGACGGUGAGGGAUGAAAGCUGGGGGAGCAAACCGGAUUAGAUACCCGGGUAGUCCCAGCUGUAAACGAUGCAGACUCGAUGAUGCAUUGGCAUAUAGCCAGUGCAGUGUCGCAGGGAAGCCGUUAAGUCUGCCGCCUGGAAGUACGUACGCAAGUAUGAAACUUAAAGGAAUUGGCGGGGGAGCACCACAAGGGGUGAAGCCUGCGGUUCAAUUGGAUUCAACGCCGGG